GCUGGAGUCAGUUGCUUGCUUUGUGAAGAGGAAAGAGUCAGUGCUCUGAGGAGAUGCCCAUGAGAAACACCAACAAGGGUUUAGGCUGGGUGCUGGCAGCAGCUGCAGUGGAGGAAGGAACAUUCCUGAAGGAAAAGGAGGAGCCCACAGAGUGAGCCAUUUAUAAAACUUCAGUUACUGCUGCUGGAAGCCACUGACGCAUUUGGUUGCUGGAGCUGAAAUUAAAUGUGCUAUCAGGGGGUCAUCCCUCUUUUCCAUGGGAGAAUCCCUUGGUGAGCCUCUCAGAGGAGGGUGAGCUGACAUCAACUUCUCCCUUGUGCUACAACAAGCCAUGCUGCUUUAAAGAAUCCAAUAUUCAUGUAAAAGAGAGGAAUUGGUUGAAAAUGCUAUCUUGGAGCUGACAGGAGGAUGGGUUCAUAAUACAUACAAGUUCAGGCUGGGUCUCAGAAGCUGCUGGAUCAAAUCCAUGAAGAACCAUGUGGGAAAAAUGCAAGGCCUUUCUGACUGAGCUGAAAUUCCUGCUGUGGCUGCAAAUCAAACCCAGGGACAUCAUCUGGAGCUGCUGGUCAGCCAAGUGGUGUGGCCAAGGAUGUUGAUGUGAUAAUUAUUGUGAUAAUUCCUCUUGC